rnacentral:rRNA from 1 species
UACGUAGGGUGCAAGCGUUACUCGGAAUUACUGGGCGUAAAGCGUGCGCAGGCGGUUAUGUAAGACCGAUGUGAAAUGCCCGGGCUUAACCUGGGAACUGCAUUUGUGACUGCAUGGCUAGAGUUUGGCAGAGGGGGGUAGAAUUCCACGUGUAGCAGUGAAAUGCGUAGAUAUGUGGAGGAACACCGAUGGCGAAGGCAGCCCCCUGGGUCAAGACUGACGCUCAUGCACGAAAGCGUGGGGAGCAAACAGG